rnacentral:rRNA from 1 species
AACCAUGCACCGAAGCUGCGGCAAUGACAUUUAGGUGUUAUUGGGUAGGGGAGCGUUCUGUAAGCGGUUGAAGGUGUGCUGUGAGGCAUGCUGGACGUAUCAGAAGUGCGAAUGCUGACAUAAGUAACGAUAAAGCGGGUGAAAAGCCCGCUCGCCGGAAGACCAAGGGUUCCUGUUCAACGUUAAUCGGAGCAGGGUGAGUCGACCCCUAAGGCGAGGCUGAAAAGCGUAGUCGAUGGGAAACGGGUUAAUAUUCCCGUACUUGUGGUAACUGCGAAGGGGGGACGGAGAAAGUUAGGCUAUCCGGGCGACGGUUGUCCCGGUUUAAGCGUGAAGGUGGAGAGACUAGGCAAAUCCGGUCUUUCAUUAACACUGAGGCGUGAUGACGAAGCACUACGGUGCUGAAGUAGCUGAUACUACGCUUCCAGGAAAAGCCUCUAAGCAUCAGGUUACCAGAAAUCGUACCCCAAACCGACACAGGUGGUCAGGUAGAGAAUACUCAGGCGCUUGAGAGAACUCGGGUGAAGGAACUAGGCAAAAUGGUGCCGUAACUUCGGGAGAAGGCACGCUGACGGUAGGUGAAGUCCCUUGCGGAUGGAGCCGAAGUCAGUCGAAGAUACCAGCUGGCUGCAACUGUUUAUUAAAAACACAGCACUGUGCAAACACGAAAGUGGACGUAUACGGUGUGACGCCUGCCCGGUGCCGGAAGGUUAAUUGAUGGGGUUAGCGAAAGCGAAGCUCUUGAUCGAAGCCCCGGUAAACGGCGGCCGUAACUAUAACGGUCCUAAGGUAGCGAAAUUCCUUGUCGGGUAAGUUCCGACCUGCACGAAUGGCGUAAUGAUGGCCAGGCUGUCUCCACCCGAGACUCAGUGAAAUUGAAAUCGCUGUGAAGAUGCAGUGUACCCGCGGCAAGACGGAAAGACCCCGUGAACCUUUACUAUAGCUUGACACUGAACAUUGAGCCUUGAUGUGUAGGAUAGGUGGGAGGCAUUGAAACGUGAACGCCAGUUUGCGUGGAGCCGACCUUGAAAUACCACCCUUUAAUGUUUGAUGUUCUAACGUUGUCCCGUGAUCCGGGAUACGGACAGUGUCUGGUGGGUAGUUUGACUGGGGCGGUCUCCUCCUAAAGAGUAACGGAGGAGCACGAAGGUUAGCUAAGCAUGGUCGGACAUCAUGCGGUUAGUGCAAAGGCAGAAGCUAGCUUAACUGCGAGACGGACAGGUCGAGCAGAUACGAAAGUAGGUC